rnacentral:tRNA from 2 species
GCUGGCGUAGCUCAACGGUAGAGCAGCCGCCUUGUAAGCGGCAGGUUGUCGGUUCGAAUCCGUCCGCCAGCU